rnacentral:rRNA from 1 species
UACGUAGGGUGCAAGCGUUGUCCGGAUUUACUGGGUGUAAAGGGCGCGCAGGCGGACUAAUAAGUCAUUGGUGAAAUCUUUCCGCUUAACGGAAAAACUGCCUCUGAUACUAUUAGUCUUGAGUACGGUAGAGGAAGACGGAAUUCCAGGUGUAGCGGUGAAAUGCGUAGAUAUCUGGAAGAACACCAGUUGCGAAGGCGGUCUUCUGGCCCGUUUACUGACGCUCAGGCGCGAAAGCGUGGGUAGCAAACAGG